rnacentral:rRNA from 1 species
UACGAAGGGUGCAAGCGUUACUCGGAAUUACUGGGCGUAAAGCGUGCGUAGGUGGUUCGUUAAGUCUGAUGUGAAAGCCCUGGGCUCAACCUGGGAAUUGCAUUGGAUACUGGCGGGCUGGAGUACGGUAGAGGGUGGCGGAAUUCCUGGUGUAGCAGUGAAAUGCGUAGAUAUCAGGAGGAACAUCCGUGGCGAAGGCGGCCACCUGGACCAGUACUGACACUGAGGCACGAAAGCGUGGGGAGCAAACAGGAUUAGAUACCCU